rnacentral:rRNA from 1 species
UGGGGAAUAUUGGACAAUGGGGGGCAACCCUGAUCCAGCAAUGCCGCGUGUGUGAAGAAGGUCUUCGGAUUGUAAAGCACUUUCGACGGGGACGAUGAUGACGGUACCCGUAGAAGAAGCCCCGGCUAACUUCGUGCCAGCAGCCGCGGUAAUACGAAGGGGGCUAGCGUUGCUCGGAAUGACUGGGCGUAAAGGGCGUGUAGGCGGUUUACACAGUCAGAUGUGAAAUCCCCGGGCUUAACCUGGGAGCUGCAUUUGAUACGUGUAGACUAGAGUGUGAGAGAGGGUUGUGGAAUUCCCAGUGUAGAGGUGAAAUUCGUAGAU